rfam:Oryza sativa (indica cultivar-group) chromosome 6, whole genome shotgun sequence.
UCCAACUUCAGCCAUGAGUUUUCGCGUCCAACUUUGAUCGUCCGUCUUAUUUGAAAAUUUUUUUAUAAUUAGCAUUUUUGUUGUUAUGAGAUGAUAAAACAUGAAUAGUACUUUACUCCUGGCUUAUGUUUUCAAUUUUUUUAAAAAAAUUUUUAAAUAAGACGAACUGUUAAAGUUGAGCGCGAAAAACCAUGGCUACACUUAUU